AUGCACGCUGGCGGCGUGCCUAAUACAUGCAAGUCGAGCGAACAGACGAGGAGCUUGCUCCUCUGACGUUAGCGGCGGACGGGUGAGUAACACGUGGAUAACCUACCUAUAAGACUGGGAUAACUUCGGGAAACCGGAGCUAAUACCGGAUAAUAUAUUGAACCGCAUGGUUCAAUAGUGAAAGACGGUUUUGCUGUCACUUAUAGAUGGAUCCGCGCCGCAUUAGCUAGUUGGUAAGGUAACGGCUUACCAAGGCAACGAUGCGUAGCCGACCUGAGAGGGUGAUCGGCCACACUGGAACUGAGACACGGUCCAGACUCCUACGGGAGGCAGCAGUAGGGAAUCUUCCGCAAUGGGCGAAAGCCUGACGGAGCAACGCCGCGUGAGUGAUGAAGGUCUUCGGAUCGUAAAACUCUGUUAUUAGGGAAGAACAAAUGUGUAAGUAACUGUGCACGUCUUGACGGUACCUAAUCAGAAAGCCACGGCUAACUACGUG
rnacentral:rRNA from 1 species